AUUGAACGCUGGCGGCAGGCCUAACACAUGCAAGUCGAGCGGAUGAAGGGAGCUUGCUCCUGGAUUCAGCGGCGGACGGGUGAGUAAUGCCUAGGAAUCUGCCUGGUAGUGGGGGAUAACGUCCGGAAACGGGCGCUAAUACCGCAUACGUCCUGAGGGAGAAAGUGGGGGAUCUUCGGACCUCACGCUAUCAGAUGAGCCUAGGUCGGAUUAGCUAGUUGGUGGGGUAAAGGCCUACCAAGGCGACGAUCCGUAACUGUCUGAGAGGAUGAUCGGUCACACUGGAACUGAGACACGGUCCAGACUCCUACGGGAGGCAGCAGUGGGGAAUAUUGGACAAUGGGCGAAAGCCUGAUCCAGCCAUGCCGCGUGUGUGAAGAAGGUCUUCGGAUUGUAAAGCACUUUAAGUUGGGAGGAAGGGCAGUAAGUUAAUACCUUGCUGUUUUGACGUUACCAACAGAAUAAGCACCGGCUAACUUCGUG
rnacentral:rRNA from 1 species